rnacentral:rRNA from 1 species
GAUGAACGCUGGCGGCGUGCCUAAUACAUGCAAGUCGAGCGAACGGACGAGAAGCUUGCUUCUCUGAUGUUAGCGGCGGACGGGUGAGUAACACGUGGAUAACCUACCUAUAAGACUGGGAUAACUUCGGGAAACCGGAGCUAAUACCGGAUAAUAUUUUGAACCGCAUGGUUCAAAAGUGAGAGACGGUCUUGCUGUCACUUAUAGAUGGAUCCGCGCUGCAUUAGCUAGUUGGUAAGGUAACGGCCUACCAAGGCAACGAUGCAUAGCCGACCUGAGAGGGUGAUCGGCCACACUGGAACUGGGACGCGGUCCAGGCUCCUACGGGAGGCAGCAGUAGGGAAUCUUCCGCAAUGGGCGGAAGCCUGACGGAGCAACGCCGCGUGAGUGGUGAAGGUCUUCGGAUCGUAAAACUCUGUUAUUAGGGAAGAACAUAUGUGUAAGUAACUGUGCACAUCUUGACGGUACCGAAUCAGAAAGCCACGGCUAACUACGUG